UAUGGAAAUUACAUAAGUGUAAAUUGGAAUAACUUGUGAAGGACAAAAUAGUAAUUUUGUAGUAAUAGCCAUAUAAGUUCCAAGAUGAGAAGAACAACUCUCUUUCUCAAAACACUCUCACGCCCAACCUCCCUUUCUCACCAUAACCACAAACUUCAUACUCCAUUAAUCCAUCAAAUUUCUUAAUGCAUGUAUGAAUUCUUCUUAACCCAUCAUCAAUUAAACUCAAUAGAAGCAAAAACCAACCCUAUCUUCCUCUCCUUCCCACUCUUAGCCACAAACCCCUUUCUUCCUCACAAACUCAUACCUUCCACCAUUUGCACGAAUUUCUUAUGGGUAGCUUGUAGAUGUUGGAAACCAAUGUAAUGUAAGCAUUCCUAAACUUUCCCCUCUUCUGUGUUGAUUUGACCGAUUUUGAUGGUUAGAGAAUGAGAUAGUUAUUAUCCGAUUUCCCUUGAAAGUGAAGGUUGAAAGAAGUCAUGUUUCACUGUUAGUUUGGAAUUUCAGCAAAGAUGUGGACUUGUAACAGUGGAGACUAAAGAUUGAAGCUUGGAAGAAAUUGAAGAGAAUGGAAAAGAAAGAAAUUGGAAGGAUUUGGGUUAAACCCGUAUUCUGGACAGACCUCCACUAAAAAGUUUCAUGGAUUUCUAAGCAGUAAUGAAUUCGGAAGAAGCAUUUGAAGUUCGAGGUCUGAUGCAGAACUUUGGGCUACGGGUUUAGAGUGUUGUGGCUGCAAAUUCUGUUUUUCAACUAGCUCCGAAUAUGUUGUUAGCACGAUUCAAACGUCAUGUUCAGGUAACAGGUUGAGCAUGAUAAAUGGAUUUUCAAGAGGAUUGAAGUAAAGACGCUGUUUAUGGAAACUUCGUAGCAUUCACCUGUUAAAUUAUUAUAGAAGAUGAUUCAAGGCUUGAUCCUGAUUGUUAUGCAUUCUAUUUCGCUCUGAUGUAUAAUAUAUUAUAGGUUGUACAUUAUGACAGUUUAUUCAGGAUUUUGUCAAGAUUAUGUAUUGUCUGGCAAAUUAUCUUGUAAUUGUACUAUGUCGGACAAAAGUUAUUCUGUAAUUUUAAUGUUUCCCGAUUCAGUUAUGUAUGCUCCUAUUGA